AUUUAUCCUCAUACCACCCUGAACAUGUCUGAUUUCAUCUGAUCUUGGAAGCUAAGCAGGGCUGGACCUGGUUAGUCCUUGAAUGAGAGAAUGUCUAAGACUGCAACUGGAAUCAGCU
rnacentral:rRNA from 1 species